ACUAACAUCUACAGAUAUACAGUGAAAUAAAGGG
rnacentral:guide_RNA from 1 species